CUUGAAACACGUAGCUACUGAUU
rnacentral:piRNA from 1 species